UUCCACCGCUCUAAAUUCCCGCCCCAAAUUCUCUCUCCCUCCGUCAAAUUUGAUAUGUUCAACCCUAACCCUACAUGGAUUGCUUAUUCUGUUGUUUAUUGUUUCUCAUCCUCCCCAAAUGAUAGAUUUAUCUUCCCGCUUCUGUUCUCAUCCACAUUCAAUGACAGACAUCAUCUCGGCGGCAGUGGUUCAGCGAUGACAUUCCGGGUACUUCAUUUGUAGCCAAGGCUUUAAGUAUGGAAGGAACUGCAAAUCUAACAUUUGAAACUUCCGAAGUUCAACUAAAAUUUUGAUGUACUAUUUCAGGUCUUGAGAGGGAUCCACCUGAAGUAGUAGUGGAUAUCAGGAUAUUUUUGUUCAGAAGGAUGAUCGAACAACAGUUAUCUCUAAUGGCCAAUCAAUAUGUUUAGUUAAGCAUGAUGUUCUAUUAAGGAUGUUGCGUGGGUUAUUAGAUUACAGAGAUUAACCUUUUGGUUUCAGGAGGAAUCUGGGAUAAGAAUUAUAAGGAGCAAAUGAAGAACUACAGACUUGGAAGAUGGAAAUGCCUUGGUUUAUCCUUUUACAAUUGUAAUGAACAAGGAGUAUGAUGGUUACAUUCAACUUUAUAGCAGAGUUGUUACUAAAAAAUAUGAAAAAAUGGAUGGUGCUGACCAGGCAGACUUUUAUUAUCGUAGUGGGAACCAUACAUGAUGGUCAUGUUAGGCUUUUAUCAUUGAAAAAGCAAAGAGCCAACGAGAAAACUUGAAGCCACGAUCCAGAUUAUAAUGGAAAAGCUGCCUAAUGGACUACUUCAGGAUCUUAGAGAUGCGUAUCAAGUUACAGUUACCUUUUAUCAUUGUAACAGUAAUUGGCGAUGUUAUUUUGAUUACAUUGUUAUUGUAAGUUUGGACAUAUGUUAAAUUAUGAUAUAAGAUUAUAUAUUAUAUUCAUGUUA